rnacentral:antisense_RNA from 1 species
CUUCACCGACCCCAGCCACAGCGGCUCGUCACGAUCCUGGCCGUAGGUGGCGAGCAGCGCCUGCGCUUC